GAUGAACGCUGGCGGCGUGCCUAAUACAUGCAAGUCGAGCGAAUGGAUUAAGAGCUUGCUCUUAUGAAGUUAGCGGCGGACGGGUGAGUAACACGUGGGUAACCUGACCAUAAGACUGGGAUAACUCCGGGAAACCGGGGCUAAUACCGGAUAACAUUUUGAACCGCAUGGUUCGAAAUUGAAAGGCGGCUUCGGCUGUCACUUAUGGAUGGACCCGCGUGGCAUUAGCUAGUUGGGGAGGUAACGGCUCACCAAGGCAACGAUGCGUAGCCGACCUGAGAGGGUGAUCGGCCACACUGGGACUGGGACACGGCCCAGACUCCUACGGGAGGCAGCAGUAGGGAAUCUUCCGCAAUGGACGAAAGUCUGACGGAGCAACGCCGCGUGAGUGAUGAAGGCUUUCGGGUCGUAAAACUCUGUUGUUAGGGAAGAACAAGUGCUAGUUGAAUAAGCUGGCACCUUGACGGUACCUAACCAGAAAGCCACGGCUAACUACGUGCCAGCCGCCGCCGUAA
rnacentral:rRNA from 1 species